UAAAUCGCUCGGGAGUGACGCACGUUGCGGAGCUUUACAAAAGACGAGAGGGGAGAGCGUGAGCCGAGGGGAGGCCAGAUGCCAAGAAAAGCCGCGCCGGUAUAGUGGAAAAGUACAGACUGGAGAGAAACUCCUGCGAGUGCACCAGGCUCGAGUUAAAAAAAAAAAGAGAGAGAAGAAGAGAAGAGCUCAGAUCCACAACGUGUUUGAACCCAGCUCUAAACCCCUCAGAGCAGCCAAGAAAACACUUGAAUAUCAACCAGCAGUCUACUUACAAGUCAAAGCGGUGGUUUUGUCUUUCAUAAGGAUGCUUAAUGUCCCACCAAGCAAGAGAGGCUGUAGUUCCUCGGCAGGGAAGUAAUAGAUCUACACUG